rnacentral:rRNA from 1 species
GAUGAACGCUAGCGGCAGGCCUAACACAUGCAAGUCGAGGGGUAGAGGAAGCUUGCUUCCUUGAGACCGGCGCACGGGUGCGUAACGCGUAUGCAAUCUACCUUUUACAGAGGGAUAGCCCAGAGAAAUUUGGAUUAAUACCUCAUAGUAUCUUUGCCUGGCAUCGGGUGAUUAUUAAAGUUCCAACGGUAAAAGAUGAGCAUGCGUCCUAUUAGCUAGAUGGUAAGGUAACGGCUUACCAUGGCAGCGAUAGGUAGGGGUCCUGAGAGGGAGCUCCGCCACACUGGUACUGAGACACGGACCAGACUCCUACGGGAGGCAGCAGUGAGGAAUAUUGGACAAUGGUCGCAAGCCUGAUCCAGCCAUGCCGCGUGCAGGAAGACGGUCCUAUGGAUUGUAAACUGCUUUUGUACGGGAAGAAACACUCCCUCGUGAGGGAGCUUGACGGUACCGUAAGAAUAAGGAUCAGCUAACUCCGUGCCAGCAGCCGCAGUAAGAC